UGGCGUCUUCGGCGUCCGCUUUGUAAUCUAAAGAAGUGUUUUCCGCUUCGGACCAUGCCUAAGUCCCUUGGAAAAGGGCAUCAUAGAGGGUGAUAAUCCCGUACAUGGCAUGGAGCGCCCGAAGCUUUGUGAUACGCUUUCUACGAGUCGAGUUGUUUGGGAAUGCAGCUCAAAAUGGGUGGUAAAUGCCAUCUAAGGCUAAAUAUUGGGGAGAGACCGAUAGCGAACAAGUACAGUGAUGGAAAGAUGAAAAGAACUUUGAAAAGAGAGUUAAACAGUACGUGAAAUUGCCAAAAGGGAAGGGUAGGAGGUCAGAGAUGCGUCUUGGGAUUCAGCCUUGCUUUUGCAUGGUGUUUUUCCCAAGUUGCAGGCCAACGUCGGUUUUGGGCACUGGAGAAGGGUAGGAGGAACGUGGCACCUCUCGGGGUGUGUUAUAGCCUCCUACUGGAUACAGCGACCGAGACCGAGGAACGCAGCGUACUCGUAAGAGCGGGCCUUUUGGCACCUUUACGCUUAGGGCGUUGGCAUAAUGGCCCUCUACCACC
rnacentral:rRNA from 1 species